rnacentral:lncRNA from 1 species
GUUUCUCUGGGAGCUAUGAGGUUGCUAUUUAUUCUGAAAUAAGACUUUCUACUUACCAUUUCUGUUUUCUCCCUUCUUGCGUUUAUUAAACACUUACUGUAUGCUAUGAAAGUACUAGUUACUGGUGACAAAAAAUAUUAAAAGCUCCCAAAUAAGAAUGCUUUUCCAAAAUAUUAAAACUGAUUUCUUGUGUAUAGUUUAGGUACAGCAAAUAAACUACCUAUCUGUAGGCUGGCUAUAGCAGUCAUCUGGGAACAGCUAGUGUUUCUUAUCAUUUUGAAUGGCAAAGAUUGAUGCCAUAUUAUGAGUGAAGGACAAAGCAGUUUUACUGUCUGUUUAAAUUUACGUUACAGAAUUUUGGCUAUUUCUUAAAAUACCUUUCUACAAGGAACAAACUUGAGGAUAACUUUACUCUGUCUUUAAAAGAUUCUGAAUUUUCUGAAUUUUGUUUAAAAAAAUCUAGUUAGAGUUUAGAAAUUCUUUAUAUUAGUAUGGUAAAGUAUAUUAUUGUUUCUUUAUCUUUAAUCAAAGGACCAUUCGGUUUGCUAUAGUGACUGCUUUUUCUACCAUGAAAAAGAAAAUCAGAGUUUGCACUAUGACUUUAGCAACCUCAGCAGUGUGGGCUCAUUAAUGAAUGGCCCCAGCUUCACCUCCAAAGGAACAAAAUACUUCCAUUUCUUCAAUAUCAGUUUAUGUGGGCAUGAGGUGAGUUCUGGCUGUCAAGGUGAGAUGGACCUAUAU